rnacentral:misc_RNA from 1 species
CCUACCAAUACCUGCACUGCAGUGCACCACAAUUGGUCCAAGACUGGGUGGGACACUAAAUGUUUGUUUCAGUAUUUCACGAACAGCAAGAGUGUCCUUUGGAACUCCAUGGUCAGGCCAGUCGGGAUAUUGAAUGUGUAAAACACACAAAGGUGGUUCUUCUGACUCAAUAUAGUUCACCUCCAGAGUUCGCAACACUAAGGAGGCAUCACUCGUCAUAUAUUUUGUCACAAUACAUAUAUUGCCAAAUGUUCUAGGCCCAUCCUCUGCCUGAAAGUAGUCCCCACACUUCACCAUCUUGUAAUUGUCAACCAAUCGUGUAAGCAUCACAAUGACAGGACAGCGUUGCUGGAUUAUCAUUUCCCAGAAGUCUUCAAAGGUGUGUGCUAGUGGACCUUGUGUUGCAACAAACCGAGACACCCCUUCAGAUAUCUCUAUAAAGCUUGCAUUGAUAUAUCCCUUAGCUGACGGUCUGUAGUCUUUACAUGGGUCCAAAACAACCCUGUUAUUGUCAAAUGGCAGAACAUCAGUGUAUCGAUUUUUGCUAAUGUUUGCGCUGUUCAAAGCCAUUGAGCAUCUACUUUUCAUUUCUGAAGCUCUCAUCCUAGUUGCCUGCAACGUCAUGAACUCUUGGCGGAUUUUUUCGGGAGCAGAAAACCUCUUGUCCUUGAAGACUUUGAGUACUUCCAAGCAAUAACGCUGCUGAUCACUCGACAGAACGACUCUCUUAGGAACUGAAUCGUCGGAGAAAUCGAAAGGCUUGGGUGACGACGACGACGACGACACGAGUUUACCGGCGGUGGCCAUCGCUGAUAUCUGCCUCCGAUUCCGAAUGGACAGUCCGCACCCCGUGGUAGGAUGUUCACUUCACUGCUUUCUUUGUACGCAUUUUUUUAUUGAUAGACAGCA